UACAGAGGUCCCAAGCGUUGUUCGGAUUCACUGGGCGUAAAGGGUGCGUAGGCGGUCGGGUAAGUCUGAUGUGAAAUCUCACAGCUUAAAUGUGAAACUGCAUUGGAUACUAUCCGGCUCGAGGAAUGGAGGGGAGACUGGAAUACUUGGUGUAGCAGUGAAAUGCGUAGAUAUCAAGUGGAACACCAGUGGCGAAGGCGAGUCUCUGGACAUUUCCUGACGCUGAGGCACGAAAGCCAGGGGAGCAAACGGG
rnacentral:rRNA from 1 species